UUGAACUGAACUGAAUAAACGUCCGCCCCCUACAAUACCAGAGCAGCGAUACACAUUGGUCAAGCGGAAAGUUGGUCACAUGCCCUCUAGUGGCGGGAUAGCGUGUUGCAUAUCCGACCAAGAACUGACUGAACUUUAGUAUUGCUGCGUUGCUGCUGACCAGGAAUUCUUGUGCGUUUCCAAAGUCAAGCAAACCUAAAAGCAUAAUCUACUAUAAUCUACCGUAAUAGGAGCAAUAUUAACACACAGUGGUCAUUAAUUGCUGUGUCAUGAAUGCCUGCUGUUUUAAUAAUGAUAUAGCCUACUUUCAAGUGGCUUCACAUCUCUCUCAUUGGCUAACGUGUUAAGCAAGUUUGUGCGCUAAAUUUACUUGUGUUUGUGUUACGUUAGCCAAACUCUGUCAUUGUCUUUAUUAUUGGCCCAAUGGCCCUUCAUCUCAAUAUUAAUUCAUUGGCUGAAUGGAUUUACAGAAGCGCCUUCUCCACCCCCACCAUCUCUAUGCAGGAGAAUACAGACUAUUUGCAGAGAGGGCCAACUACUAAUUUCAGCAGAAAGGACCCCAGCACCAUUCAGAAGAUUAAAGAGACCCUGAAUUUGAUGAGAAAUCAACACUUUGAGAGCUGAACAUCAAUGAUCUGUGGACAGUUUGGCAGUGGGAUGAGAAGGUGAUAGACCACUACACUAUGUUUACUGCAUGACGACCACUUCAUUGAUUGUGAAACUUCCAAUCAGUGAGGAUUCUCUUGACUUCCUAGUCGACCCAGCUAAAGACGCGUGAACAGAACCUGACCCCUGUUCCAAAGGAUGCAUUCCUACCACUUUGAGCAGAAUUCAGCAGACCUGGACAAGCGGCUAUCUGAUGGAAUACGCCCACUCAACACAGCUGAUUUAGAGAGAUACGGAGACCAGACUUACUUUGAGGAGAUCAAGCAGUUUUACUAGAGAGAUGAAUUCAGCCACCAGGUCCAGGAGUGGAACAUGCAGUGCACCCUUGUCAUUGAACGCUGCAGCAAUGAUGAUGACAUCCUGCUUC